rnacentral:misc_RNA from 1 species
GAUGAAGAACGUAGCGAAAUGCGAUAAGUAAUGCGAAUUGCAGAAUUCAGUGAAUCAUCGAAUCUUUGAACGCACAUUGCGCCCGCCAGUAUUCUGGCGGGCAUGCCUGUCUGAGCGUCGUUUCGACCCUCGCGCCCGGCUUCUGUCGGGGGCGGUGUUGGGGAUCGGCCACACCCUUCAGUGGGAGGCCGGCCCCUAAAUUCAGUGGCGACCACGCUGUAGCCUCCCCUGCGUAGUACUAAAACCACCUCGCAGGCGGAGAGCGGUGCGGCCCGCCGUAAAACCCCCCAACUUUUACAAGGUCGACCUCAGAUCAGGUAGGAAUACCCGCUGAACUUAAGCAUAUAAUAAGCGGAGGA